GUGGGUUAUACAAUAAAUAUAAAAUGGUAUCUUGUAUAAAGAUUUUAUAAACUUAUUUAAAAUUUGUACUUUGAAAAUUAUAAUAAUAAUAAAAACAUAUUUUUUGUUUGUUUACUUUUAUAAAAAAAAUUUUAAAACAUCAAUUAAAUACAUAAUUUUGUGACACAAUUUUUUAUAAUUAUUAUUAGGUAUUAUUAAAUCAUUUUAAAUUUAGUGUACCUGAUUGCGUCCCAAGUCAAAUUCAAAUUCCAUUCCCUAGUUUUCAACAGCAAAUCCCUUUUUGCAACACCAAUAAUAAUUAAAACACACUUAUAUAUAUUAUACACUAGGGUGCCACUUAUUUUUGAAGUUGUUAAUUUUGAAAAGCGCUGGCCGGGGAUUUGUUCCAAUGCAUCUAAAAAUAGUGUCUGANAAUGUCACGGUUUGUCGCAUAACUACUUAAAAUUAUA